rnacentral:tmRNA from 1 species
GGAAAAGCACGUCGGAGGUUCGGCUCCGUUAAAAACGAAACUUAAAUUUAAACGCUAACAAUAGCAAAAACUACAGCGCUCCCGUAGCGCUCGCUGCUUAAUCUUAAUUUAAGCACCGUUUCUCUUUCCGUUGCCCACGGCGGAGAAAGAAACGCCAUUUCAAGUGGGGUAUCGCCCAGACGGAAUAACCUUCUUCCGCCCGUCGCGGGACUUUGAAGGCGUGGGAUAAAAGAGUUCGUUUGCGGAAUCUUUUUCCCGAAAUCAAACGCAAACUAAACGUGUAGAAAGCCUUUCUUACGGCGGUAAGACCGCGGUUCAACUCCGCGCUGGUCCACCA